rnacentral:lncRNA from 1 species
AUGCGGCCUCCACCGCGAGGACACAGGCGACCCGCUGAGGAGUGGCCCCUCUUCCCAGGAAUGCCUCCUCCCUCUGAACCCCCUGGGAAAAGGCCAUCCAAAAAUAGCUCUCCGGCCCUGCCGGAGUCCCCGGGACCCGCACCAGGCCCCUGGGCGACCCGCGCCCUAUCAGGGGGAGCCCCAGUCGGGGGCACCUGGGACUCCGCGCCUGCCAAGCGUCCCCGGGGCACUGCAAUGAGGUCACCGCCGCCGACCCCGCCCGGCGCGGCCAAUGGCGCGCCCACAGGCACGCGGGCGGGGGCGGCUGCGGGCGGAGGGAAGGCGGCCGUGUCCAGGGACAAGGAGCAGGGUGUCCAGGCUGCGCGUCCUGGGACCCCCGGGCCGAAGGGUGCCGGCAGGCCGGUCCAAGGGUCCGGGAGGCGCCUCUCCUUGCCCCUGCGCCUCCCUCACCCGACCCGCGUCCGCCUCCCGCGGAAGGGCCUGCGAAGGAGCUGGGCCAGGCGGUGGGUGCGGCCUCCCGGAACCUCCCGGCGCCUGCGGCUGGGCCUCCGGGACUGGGGCGCGCAGGGCCUUCGGCCUCCUCGUUCCCCUCGUCCCCGUGGCGCCGCUCGGCCGGGCUGCCGUGACGUCGCACUCACCUACCACUCGUCGGAGUCCGGGACCGGGCGGCGGCGGCGGCGGCUGCGGGGGCGGCGGCUCCCAGCGCUGAGAAUGCGCGGCCCGGCGCCUGCGAGGGGGACGCCCCGCCCCGGCCCGCCCCUCCCCGGCCUCAAGCCCCGCCUGCGGCGGCAGGAGCUCCGCAGGUCUGAACCCGCGUGGCGGGCGGGAGCCGGUGGGUGUAGGCGCUGGGGGUCGACCCGGCACUGCGGAGGCCGGGCGAGCUGCAGCCCUGGGGGUGCCAACAGCCCAUCAAGGGCUCAUCCGGUCCAGGGACAGAGGAGCUGGGCGGGAGGCGGGCCUGGAGGUAAGACGGCGACCAGCCCAGCCAGAGGCCCUGGGCUGUGGCGACCGGGCCCUCCUCCAUGCCCAACCCCCAUCUCUUUCUCAGCACCCAGGAACCGCCCAGAGGCUGCAGGGGUCGGCAGAACGGAUGCCGGCCUGGGGGAGGGGAGGGCCUAG